CUCCUACGGGAGGCAGCAGUGGGGAAUAUUGCACAAUGGAGGAAACUCUGAUGUAGCAACGCCGCGUGGAGGAUGACACAUUUCGGUGCGUAAACUCCUUUUAUGUGAGAAGAUAAUGACGGUAUCACAUGAAUAAGCACCGGCUAACUCCGUGCCAGCAGCCGCGGUAAUACGGAGGGUGCAAGCGUUACUCGGAAUCACUGGGCGUAAAGCGCGCGCAGGCGGCUUUGUAAGUUGGAUGUGAAAUCCUAUGGCUCAACCAUAGAACUGCAUCCAAAACUACUUAGCUAGAGUCUGGGAGGGGAAGAUGGAAUUAGUGGUGUAGGGGUAAAAUCCGUAGAGAUCACUAGGAAUACCAAAAGCGAAGGCGAUCUUCUGGAACAGUACUGACGCUGAGGCGCGAAAGCGUGGGGAGCAAACAGGAU
rnacentral:rRNA from 1 species